UACAGAGGGUGCGAGCGUUAAUCGGAGUUACUGGGCGUAAAGGGCGCGUAGGCGGUGAUAUGAGUGUGAUGGGAAAGCCCCGGGCUUAACCUGGGAAGUGCAUCGCAAACGAUAUGACUGGAGUAGAUGAGAGGGUGGCGGAAUUUCCGGUGUAGCGGUGAAAUGCGUAGAGAUCGGAAGGAACGUCGAUGGCGAAGGCAGCCACCUGGCAUCAUACUGACGCUGAGGCGCGAAAGCGUGGGGAGCGAACAGG
rnacentral:rRNA from 1 species